GUGCUUUCUGCCACACUGUGCAGAUCACCCAAUUCUUCAGGCCAGAAGGCACAUGCAAGGAAAAGGACUACCAUAAAGAUCCUCGGACUGCAUAAUUAUCCAUAUUAAACCAGGGAUACUUCUUGGUGCACCAUGCCUCACCAUCCCAUCCGAAGAGCAGCAACACGAGGUGACGCCUUGAUGGUGUCGGGGGACCCAGCAUUGUGUUGGGGAUAUCUCAAACCCAGCCACUGCAGACAUCUGUGGACCCAUGCUGCAUGCAUUUCAUACAGAGGCAUGGAGACAGCAUCACAUGGAGUGCCUAGAUCUCCUUAAUACACAUCCAUAGAUACUCCGUGUGCUAUUCAUAGAGCUUGGAUGUCGGGUGGACAACCGACCACACGAUGGACAUAAGACGCUCAGUAAUGGCGGUAUUUAUUUAUACAUGAUCCCUUUUCAUCUCAGAGGAUCUCUGCAAUGGUUCCAGCCCUGGAAUGUAAAUAAUUUGUCACCUUCUAAUUUAGCAGUGUCAUAUGUUCACAAAUCAUGCUGGGAGUGUAACACCAUGAAUAAAUGGAUUUCUCACCCACAUAACACUACCCAGCAUUUUAU